rnacentral:rRNA from 1 species
GCCGCGGUAAUACGGAGGGUGCAAGCGUUAAUCGGAAUUACUGGGCGUAAAGCGUACGUAGGUGGCUGCUUAAGUCGGAUGUGAAAGCCCUGGGCUCAACCUGGGAAUUGCAUUCGAUACUGAGCGGCUAGAGUACGAUAGAGGGAGGUAGAAUUCCACGUGUAGCGGUGAAAUGCGUAGAUAUGUGGAGGAAUACCGGUGGCGAAGGCGGCCUCCUGGAUUGAUACUGACACUGAGGUGCGAAAGCGUGGGGAGCAAACAG